rnacentral:lncRNA from 1 species
GUUCCCGGGUGCACUACACAAGACAGCAGCCACUGGCCAUGUGGAACUAAAGUAAAAAAGCAAACCACGUUCCAACCUCAGUGAUACCUGGGUUUGGCAGCAGAGCUGGACAGUCUGCCAGAGACCAGGGGUCUCAGCUGGGGCUGAUUUUGCUCCCUGCCACAGGGAAUGGCCCAGUAGGGCCAAGACAAAGAGCUCCUGCCAGACCCAGCCCCCAACUGCAGCAAGCCCUGGCCAUGCAAAGGUGGCCUCAGUGGAACGGACUCCUGCCGAGGCUUUGGGUCAGGUGAGCAUGGACCCCCUGAAGAGGUCAGGCAGUGGCAGGAGUUCUACUAUGCUAGCCCUGGACAAGGUAGAGGUGGCCCACGUUUGUGGAUAUUUGAGGCAGGGGCUGUACUCUCUGAACGGAGAUGGUUCAGGUCUGACAUUAGAGUCUGAGCUAGGAUGCUCAUCCCAAUACUGGAUGCUUGGACCUGACUGGCCCUUGGGCUGGGUGCAGCUCCAGUGUUUGUGGGCAAAGGGGUCCCAGGGUUCCCUGGCCCAGUAUUUCAUUCCCUGGCUCAGGAACAUCCCUCCCUCUGCCUUGGCAUUGUUAGAAGCCCCAUACCCUCCUGAGCUCAGGCAAAUCACAGAGCCCCUGGUGGGUGGGCUUCCCCAAGGUUCUUGGCAUCUGCCCCACUCUCCCACAGGACACCGUCAAUAUGCUCUCUCCUGCGGACAAGAAGAGCUCUGCGCUAGUGGGGACGAUGUGUCCUUUCUGCUGCCCUCGUCUGUGGCAAUGGACAGUGGCCCCCUAGCAGGAUGGCAUCCUUUCCUGCAGACCCUGAAGAGGAGGGACCAGGAGCCUUCCAGGCUUGGCCUGCCUCUUGCACAAAGCAGGGAGGUGCAGCAACCCACAUGGCAGCAAGAAGCUCUUCAGCUCCGUUUACCCUGGGUGAGUGCAAGGGCUCCAUGGAGAGGAGGCAUGCGGGCACAGGGGAGCCCUAGAGUGGUGGAGAGCCAGCUGGGCUUGCAGUCUGGGUGCUCCAGGCUUUGAAGCAAUGGCAGGCACUUGGCCCAGACACUUCCAGACUCGGGUUUUAACCACCAUCCCCAUCAGAGGCUCUCAGCAGGCUUGCUAUCCAACCCUGUCCUGAUCACUUCUUGGAAAUAUCAGAGGCCUGACUGUCCAAGCAGUGGACAGAAUGACCACUGGUGCUGCCCAUCAGCUUCCUGGUCCUCCAUGUGGACUGUGCAUACUGACUGUACAGUAUGAGGAGUUGGGGGAAAGAAUCCUUCAUUGGAGCACUGCCUCUUGAAACGAUGAGGUGGGAAAGGCACUUUGUCUCUGUGAUCUUCCUUCCCUAACAUCCCAAGCCCCAGUCAAAACAGGAGGAAAACAUCAGGCAAAUCCCAGCAGAGGGACAGUGUAAAGACACCUGACCAGUGCUCCUAACUGUGAAGACGAGAACAAUGAAGUCUGAGAAAGCAUGGUCAUGAGGAGACAGGACAGAUAAGUGUCACGUGGGAUCUUGGAUGGGAUCCUGGAGAGAAAAGCAUCUCGGGGAACUUGGAUGAAGUAUGAGCUUUAGUGAUGCACCAACACUGGCCCUAAUGGAAGCUGUUAACAGAAGGGAAACUGGGUGUGGGGUGUGUGGGAACUCUCUGAUAUCUCCACAGCUGAUCUGUAAACCUAAAUUCAUUCUAAACUAAAAAU